GGAGAUGGUGAUGUAAACCCUAAACCAUGUGACACUUUAAUAAAUCAUAGCGCCGACAGAAACAAACACACACUGUUCCAUCGACAGGCGAACAAAACACCAUUCUCCACAUCUAAUCAAACACAGCAGCGGGAAAAGAAGGCUAGAUAGAGCGCGCGCGAGAGGAUGUGCUGUCUGCCGGUGGAGCAGACUUUAGGCGCGCUCGGAGACUCCGUGUGCGCGCACGGAUGCGCUCCGCUGCCGUUUGCGCACCGACUGCGCUUGAUCGGAGACCAGCUGGAGAAGAGAUGGGCUGCAAACGACAAAAGCUCCGACGAUGGGCAACGAAGCGGCGGGGAAAACAUCAUCAAAAGCUUCCAAAUAGUGUGCACAGUCAUUCAAGUAACGCUUCUGGUGUUUUUAGUCAAAAAGCGACACCUGUAGGUGAGACGAGGCCCUGCUGGUCUACAGCAACAGAUGAAUCUUCAGAUUCUCCUGGGACGAUCCGCUCCAGAUUUAUCGGAGAGGAGAAGGCGCCGGUCACGUCUGCACUCUGUAGAAACUUGCCAUGCAAACAGUGGGUCAAUGUUUUCUCAUCCAUGUAUAUCUGACAACUUUUGCAGUAGUGUUGUAAUGGAAACAUGCAAACAGCAGACGCAUCUGUGCUGUACAUUACAAGCUGAUCACUUUCAUAACGACCAAUACUUCAUCCUGAAGUCUUCUCGAUUACCGAAGCAUGGCAAGCCGAUGUCGUUUGGUACGCGUUUGUUUGGUUCGAAGUCUUAAGGUCAGUGCAGUCAAACCCAGCGGUGUCUCCUGGGGAAACUUACAAAAUAAAAGGCUGAUGUCAUUGUCCCUCGGCGUUUACGAGGAAAUUUUUUCUACCACUACGGCAAUAGGAGCCUUGCCUCAACUUUGAUGACCUUACAGUUGAGUUUUUCUUGUUGAGAGGGUGCUUUGGAUAUGCAAAAGCUGUAAAUGAUUAAAAUAUGAUCAAUCACGGUCAAUCUUCAGAGGAGAGAUACCAAAAACACUGCUACCAAAACCUCUCCUCUGCAUAAUGCACUGUAACAUUUAGUUAUAAGCUACUGUAAGUGACUAUGCCAUUCAAUAUCUGAGCUGUGAUUUUGUUUCUUUGUUGUUUUUAUGAGAUAUUUAUUAGUUUUAUUGUCCUUUACACUGUACUCUUCUCGAUGGAAAGCAUAUUUAUACUGUAGAAUGAUUUUAAGUGUAUUUGAACUUGAUGUUGUUUACAGAUGAAGACAAAUCUUUUUUAGGACUUUUUAUAAAGGGCUUCUGGCUUGAUUGUUUGUGUCAGUGUUAAUAUAGAAAUGUGACAUGAAUGAGAUUUCAUGCGAAAUGUGAAUCAAAAGGGCAUGCUACUGAUGUUUACAUAAGCUACAAUCUUUUAUAGUUUACGUUACUACCAUGUGUUUAAAACAUGUUUUACCUCUGCUAUUUUGAUAUUGUGAGUUUUGUCAUUUAUGAAAAUAAAAAGGCUUUAAAUAUA